rnacentral:rRNA from 1 species
AGCGAACGCUGGCGGCAGGCCUAACACAUGCAAGUCGAGCGCCCCGCAAGGGGAGCGGCAGACGGGAGAGUAACACGUGGGAACGUACCCUUCAGUUCGGAACAACCCAGGGAAACUUGGGCUAAUACCGAAUACGUCCGUAAGGAGAAAGAUUUAUCGCUGAAGGAUCGGCCCGCGUCUGAUUAGCUAGUUGGUGGGGUAACGGCUCACCAAGGCGACGAUCAGUAGCUGGUCUGAGAGGAUGAUCAGCCUCACUGGGACUGAGACACGGCCCAGACUCCUACGGGAGGCAGCAGUGGGGAAUCUUGGACAAUGGGCGGCAAGCCUGAUCCAGCCAUGCCGCGUGAGUGACGAAGGCCUUAGGGUUGUAAAGCUCUUUUGCCGGGGACGAUAAUGACGGUACCCGGAGAAUAAGUCCCGGCUAACUUCGUGCCACGCCGCCGCAGUAAU